CUGCCACAAAGUCUUGUCUAGAUUCCUCACAAUUAAUACCCCAAAGUGGCAUUUUUUAUGACCCCUUUCUCUGUUGUCUCACCAUAGGUUUUUGGGCAGAUCCCUCCACCUGUUAUAUCUUCAACUAGGAAAACCUUCUGAGAAUCAAAAGGGGUCCUGUGUCCUGAUAUCACAGUGACCAAUUUCUUUGAGACGGCUACAAGCUUCCAUAGAAAAGACUGGCUGACUGACUGCCUUCUAGCAAAUUCUAGUAUGGAGUAAGGAGAGAGGAUGCAACCACAUUACUCCGUGGGCUUCCAUUCACCCUCCUGGGGACCCCGUGAGAGAAAGUCGGUGGAUUAAAGGAGAGCUGACAAGCACCUGAGCAGGUUAGCCCCAAGGGUUCCACUCUGCUCACGACAGAAGAACUUCCCAGCCCCUCCAAGACUGCCAACAAAAGGGCAGAGCCUGAGCUGCUUGGGUCCCAUUACUGAGAUGGUGCUGUCGCCAUCUGCAUCCCUCCAGGCACGAAGGGUUUUCCCAGCAGCACCUCUCACAAUGUCUGGCAGAGAACAAGUGCUGGGAGACAAUUCUCCAUGGGCUUCUCACACUCUACACACCUUUCGAGUAGCGUCAUUGACUGCCUUUGUUCUGGACUGCUUUUCAAGGAUGUUUGUAUAAGAAAGUGCUUUGGAAGAGUGAGGAGGUGUCUCCCUCAGGAGCAAUGAGCAGGCGUGCUUACUGUUCAGUAUAAAAGAUUCCAUAAGCUCGGAGUUCCUCUCAAAUGCUGACACUGCCUGCUGCUACUGUGGUAAGCAAUCAAGUCCUUGGUCUCUGACCCGGGAGGCUCAUGACUUCUAUGCCAGCUUCUAUAGCACUACGGCAAGCUAACUUGUUAACUCGAAAGGAGGGUAAAAUCUCAUACCCUUCACAGUUCUUAAGAGUAAGUGCUCAGAAAGAAAAAAAGUUUGUUGAAUGAAUUAAUUUUUAAAAAGUUUAGGGGGCUUAUCAUUUUUAUGACUAAUCAACAGUUACCCAGAGAAAAUGUCCAAGCAGUUCUCUAGGGAAGGAGCGAUUUCCCAAUAUAUUUUCAUUAACGUACCAGUGUGUGUUAGUCAGCCUGUGUUUAUUUUAGAUAUCAGUAUUGACUUAAAAAUGUUGGCAGCGGUACGUUUGGACUUAGCUAAACGCUGAGCUGUGUGUUGGGAACCGAGUAUUUAUUCAAGCAUUACUCAGUCAUAUAGGAACUACAGACUUUGGGUAGUUUCUGCUUGCUUCUGCAUCAGUGUCCCUGAUGGAUGAGGCCAUAGUUUUGGUAACAGAGCUGAAAUUUUAUUCUUUCUUUCUAAAAAU
rnacentral:lncRNA from 1 species